GCCAAAACGCGGAAGCAACGUGGAUUUUACGUGCCUACGUUUAUGUCAAACACAUCGUGAUUGGCUCAUGAAGGAGCAGAUACGUGAAACACGCUGCACAUAGCCAUAUGGAGAAAGUAGGUGAGUGUUGAUCAUUUGUUUGGUACCUAUUCCCCCAAGAGGGGUGCCAGUGUCCUGAUGCUGACCAGUGCCACCGGUUCCGCCACUUGGUUCCUGCUGGAGCCUUAGCACCAACUGGAUGAGGGGACUCCUCUCUGUGUUGAAUUCCCGGCUGUCUAAGGCUUUGAAGUGGAGAGUGGUGUCAAACUACAAGACCGCCAGCAUGUAAACAAGGCCUUGUUUGUCCUUGUUUGGCUACUCACCACUCUUCUAAUUCCUGAAGAGGCUGAAGCAUGCUGGCCUUGACACCUCAGUCCUUGCUUCCAUUAACAGCUGUGUUAUGGUCUACUGCAACGGGUGGAUAAGGAGGGCAAAUGACAGGCAGUGUGCUGUGAGGACUGCUGCCCUGAUUCAUACGGAAGAACCAAGCCCGCAAGAUGGUGUUAUCAAGCACACAGAAGGGGGGAAUAUAGCUUAUUGUACCUUAAAUGACAAGUGCUCAUCACAAGCAUUCCAAAAAUAUAUGAUUUAGGCUACUUAAUGUGAUCUGUCUUCGAGUUACACCCUAAAAACUACCAACACUGUCAAAAGAGUCCGUCAAUGCAAACGGUCGUGUCCUCCUGGCAGAUGGUGUUAUCAAGCACACAGAAGGGUGGAAUAUAGUUUAUUGUACCUUAAAUGACAAGUACUCAUCACAAGCAUUCCAAAAAUAUAUGAUAUAGGCUACUUAAUGUGAUCUGUCUUCGAGUUACACCCUAUAAACUACCAACACUGUCAAAAGUGUCCGUCAAUGCAAACGGUGGCAUCCUCCUGGCAGAUGGUGUUAUCAAGCACACAGAAGGGUGGAAUAUAGUUUAUUGUACCUUAAAUGACAAGUACUCAUCACAAGCAUUCCAAAAAUGUAUGAUUUAGGCUACUUAAUGUGAUCUGUCUUCGAGUUACACCCUACAAACUACCAACACUGUCAAAAGUGUCAGUCAAUGCAAACGGUCGCGUCCUCCUGGCAGAUGGUGUUAUGAAGCACACAGAAGGGUGGAAUAUAGCUUAUUGUACCUUAAAUGACAAGCACUCAUCACAAGCAUUCCAAAAAUAUAUGAUUUAAAUUACUUAAUGUGAUCUGUCUUCGAGUUACACCCUAAAAACUACCAACACUGUCAAAAGUGUCCGUCAAUGCAAACGGUGGCAUCCUCCUGGCAGAUGGUGUUAUCAAGCACACAGAAGGGUGGAAUAUAGUUUAUUGUACCUUAAAUGACAAGUACUCAUCACAAGCAUUCCAAAAAUGUAUGAUUUAGGCUACUUAAUGUGAUCUGUCUUCGAGUUACACCCUACAAACUACCAACACUGUCAAAAGUGUCAGUCAAUGCAAACGGUCGCGUCCUCCUGGCAGAUGGUGUUAUGAAGCACACAGAAGGGUGGAAUAUAGCUUAUUGUACCUUAAAUGACAAGCACUCAU